rnacentral:lncRNA from 1 species
CCGUACACCUGACCCAUACCCGGAACUUGUUGUUGCUGCUGAUGGUACAUUUGACCCGCGGGGACAGAGUAUUGCUGAACAUAUUGUCCCUGCAUUUGAACGGGAACGUUCCCUUGCAUCUGAACCGGAACGUUCCCUUGCAUUUGAACCGGUACAUUCCCUUGCAUUUGAACCGAAACGUUCCCCUGUUGUUGAACUGGUCCGGGUCCAGGGACAUAGUAAACCGGAAUAUGCUGAACCGGAGCAGCGGGACCCGAGU